UUGAGUUACACAACUCCCAAACCCAUGUGAACCUUACCUGUCGUUGCUUCGGCGGACCGCCCCGGGGCCCAUCGCGGCCCCGGAUCCACGGCGCCCGCCGGGGGACCCGAAACACUCUUGUUUUUUUCUACGCAGACUUCUGAGUGGCAUUUAUUACAAAUAAAUCA
rnacentral:misc_RNA from 1 species